rnacentral:rRNA from 1 species
AUACAUGCAGUCGAGCGGACAGAUGGGAGCUUGCUCCCUGAUGUUAGCGGCGGACGGGUGAGUAACACGUGGGUAACCUGCCUGUAAGACUGGGAUAACUCCGGGAAACCGGGGCUAAUACCGGAUGGUUGUUUGAACCGCAUGGUUCAAACAUAAAAGGUGGCUUCGGCUACCACUUACAGAUGGACCCGCGGCGCAUUAGCUAGUUGGUGAGGUAACGGCUCACCAAGGCGACGAUGCGUAGCCGACCUGAGAGGGUGAUCGGCCACACUGGGACUGAGACACGGCCCAGACUCCUACGGGAGGCAGCAGUAGGGAAUCUUCCGCAAUGGACGAAAGUCUGACGGAGCAACGCCGCGUGAGUGAUGAAGGUUUUCGGAUCGUAAAGCUCUGUUGUUAGGGAAGAACAAGUACCGUUCGAAUAGGGCGGUACCUUGACGGUACCUAACCAGAAAGCCACGGCUAACUACGUGCCAGCAGCCGCGGUAAUACGUAGGUGGCAAGCGUUGUCCGGAAUUAUUGGGCGUAAAGGGCUCGCAGGCGGUUUCUUAAGUCUGAUGUGAAAGCCCCCGGCUCAACCGGGGAGGGUCAUUGGAAACUGGGGAACUUGAGUGCAGAAGAGGAGAGUGGAAUUCCACGUGUAGCGGUGAAAUGCGUA